AACGAACGCUGGCGGCAUGCCUAACACAUGCAAGUCGAACGAUUGCCUUCGGGUGAUAGUGGCGCACGGGUGCGUAACGCGUGGGAAUCUGCCCUUAGGUUCGGAAUAACAGCUGGAAACGGCUGCUAAUACCGGAUGAUAUCGCGAGAUCAAAGAUUUAUCGCCUGAGGAUGAGCCCGCGUUGGAUUAGGUAGUUGGUGGGGUAAAGGCCUACCAAGCCGACGAUCCAUGGCUGGUCUGAGAGGAUGAUCAGCCACACUGGGACUGAGACACGGCCCAGACUCCUACGGGAGGCAGCAGUGGGGAAUAUUGGACAAUGGGCGCAAGCCUGAUCCAGCAAUGCCGCGUGAGUGAUGAAGGCCCUAGGGUUGUAAAGCUCUUUUACCCGGGAAGAUAAUGACUGUACCGGGAGAAUAAGCCCCGGCUAACUCCGUG
rnacentral:rRNA from 1 species